GGGGAGGUGGGGAAGCGUGCCUGCCCUUGGGGCCCCUACCCUCGUCCCAACCCGGUCCCAUAAAAGCACCGCCACUACCGCCUUCCUGCCGCCCUCCUGCACCAGGCGCCCCAGCCCUUGGCGUGACCCCGGAAAGCGUGACCUGCGGCCUCCGAGAAGCCUUCCGGACCUCUCCCUGCACCAAGUGAGGAUGGAGACCUAGGAGGAGCUGAAGAGAGACUUGCGGAAGAACCGCCACCCCCGCCGCCCCAGAACCGCACGCGAACGCACUCCCCUCCCACUAGGGUGCGGAUGAGGCCCAGGUCGGGGCUUAGCCGUGACGGCCAGGUGCAGUGCUCCUCCCGAUGAAGGCAAUGUGGAUCCCCCCCUUUUCCCGCCAAGGCUGAGCAGCCCGACCUGCCACUGUCCACUGUGGGCUGUGCCCAGGCCUUCACCUUGAAGAGGAGUCCUGGGGACAAGGGUUUUGUAUAUUACAAAAGCGGUGAUUUGCCUUUGCUCCAGCCCCUCUACAGGUUGGGCCAUGGCCAGCAGUGUCACCACCCCCUCCAGAUCUCACCAAGAGUGGACCCGGUCACACUGCUCAGCACACAUCCUUCCUCACUAUACACCUUUCUCACCUUGUCCCCUGGACUCCCGGGGCUCCUAUUCAUCCUUCAGAGCCCUGCCUGGCAUCUGCUGCCCAGAAGUGAGCCUUCAGCACAUGAAGCUACUUUGGCUUUUUAAA